CCUGGCCAGAGUGUCCUUGAUCAAAAUCGACCAUGAACAGAUCAGAAGUUGAAUUCAAAGUAACUUCAGCUCACGAAUUAAAUGACAUAAACAGAAACAGAUCCAUCCAUUAAGCUGACAAAUUAAAGAAAAGAGAAGACACUGAAGUUGGACAAUCAAAAACCCUAGAUUUAGACAGAGAAAUUGGUUUAAGGGUUUUGGUUUCGGAGGGUUUUUU
rnacentral:misc_RNA from 1 species